AGGUGUACGUGUCCUGGUGGGCGCCCCAGUCUUCAAAACUGGUGAGGCCGAGCAUCUCGGCCUGGCAGGUUCGAUUCCUGUCCAUCU
rnacentral:tRNA from 1 species